ACCCGUCCCUCAUCCACAGCGCUGGGCGAAGCUUUUCUCCUGCUCCUCCCACAGCCCAGGCUUCAGGCUGGGGCCACCGCAGGCUGGCAAAAGCCCUUCCCUGUGGGUGUGAAUAAAUGUCUUGAGUGUCGGGGCAGCUAGGGUCAUCAGGUCUCAGAGGACAGACAGGCCCUCAGAUAUGUGGGAGAACAGUCAUGUGCCCUCCCAGUCAGGAAGAUUACAAAGCCCCUAAGGGCUGUCAGCAGCUCACCAGUGCAGGCCUUGGUGACCAUCUGAGUCAGGAUUCACAGCAGGCCAUGACUUGCCCAGUCACACAGCAUGCCAGUGGGGAUCUAGGUAGACUACUGUGUGAUUCUAUGUCCUGACCAGUGCAUAGGUGUCAAGCAUUCACUCAACAAACAAACUGAAUCCCUUGUGGGAGACAGACUCUAGAUUAAGAAGAUAUUAUCAUACCUGAGAGAUUAAAACAUAAUAUAAAUAUAUAAUGUAUAACAUGUAAUUUAUAAUAUGGUAUUUAAUAUGUAAUAUGUCAUGUGUGCUAUAUGAUAUAUCACGUAUAAUCAUGUAUCAUGUAUAAUAAUGUGUAACAUGUAAUAUAAUAAAGUAAAAUAUAU
rnacentral:lncRNA from 1 species